rnacentral:tRNA from 1 species
UAUAUCUUAGUAUAUGACGUAUGAGGGCUUUUGAUGCUUUAGGAAACAGUUUGAUUCUGUUAGAUAUAA